rnacentral:lncRNA from 1 species
AUCCUAUAACAAAGGAACUAGAAAAAGCCAAAAUUGUUAAUCAAGCCAAAAAUUAAGAAAUUACAAAAAAUUAAAGAUUAAGUUAAGCUCAGCUCUGCCACAGCAAGGCAGUGAGCUUUACUUCUUAAGCCGUUUCCAAUCGAAUACGGGUGAACCCAACCCGAACCCGAAAUCCCCUUGCUAGACAGUCAUCAAAAUGACC